UAUUCGUAAUUGCAAAAGUGGUAGGGGAGCGUUCUAUAAAAGGUUGAAGAGAGACUGAAAAGACUCUUGGACGAAAUAGAAGUGAUAAUGCCGGUAUAAGUAGCGAUAAUAUAAGUGAGAAUCUUAUUCGCCGCAAGCCUAAGGUUUCCUGGGGAAGGUAAAUCCGCCCAGGGUUAGCCGGAGCCUAAGUCAAGGCUGAAAGGCGUAGACGAUGGACAACAGGUUAAUAAUCCUGUGCCACCGUAACAGCGUUGAGCAUGGGGGGACAGAGGUGUGAAGGUUAUCAAGUCCAAUAGACACGGCUUGUUCAAGCCGGAGAUGUUGUCUCAGGCAAAUCCGAGACGUAUGGCAUCGAAGGUGAGUACGUGGGCGUAUGCCCUUAAGUAACUGGAGCAUCUUUCAAGAAAAGCCUCGUUUGCGAGCUGUUAUGGUGUCCGUACUAAAACUGACACAGGUAGGCGGGGAGAGGAUCCUAAGGCGCUCGAGAGAACCCUCGUUAAGGAACUCGGCAAAAUCACUCCGUAACUUCGGGAGAAGGAGUGCCUCGAAUAAAAUCGAGGCCGCAGUGAAAAGGCCCGGGCGACUGUUUACUAAAAACACAAGUCUCUGCCAAGAUUUAAAAUCAACGUAUAGAGACUGACGCGUGCUCGAUGCCAGAACGUUAAGGGGAUGGGUUAGUGUUCGAAAGAAUACGAAGCUCAGAACUGAAGCGCUGGUGAAUGGCG
rnacentral:rRNA from 1 species